CAGAAAGCUCCCAACUUCCUUCAAUAUACUUAUGCUGAUUAGGAUCGAGAUCAAGGUCCACAAAAUCAAACUGAAAUAUCAUCGUCAGUUCUCUACGAUCAGCACCAACGACAUGCAGGAUUUCGUUCGUAUCCAAAACGUAAGGCAUUUCCCCUACAGAAAAAGCGUCAUACUCUGUAAGAAUAUUGCCUAUCCCAUUAAGAUACUCGUGAAUUCUGGGACCAUUGGCGUAAUAUUGAUAGGCUAGUUGAUAUUCGUACCUGUCAUCAGUAAUUGGAGCAUCUAGAAACCUUUGGUCUUUGCUGAUCAUGUUAAUAGCAUCAAGUCGAAACCCAUCUACUCCUCUAUCAAGCCAGAAACGUAGA